rnacentral:rRNA from 1 species
GACGAACGCUGGCGGCGUGCUUAACACAUGCAAGUCGAACGGGCCCGCCCCUGUUUUUGGGGGUGGGUUGAGUGGCGAACGGGUGAGUAUCCCGUGAGUAACCUGCCCCCUGCUCCUGGAUAACUGCUUGAAAGGGCGGCUAAUACGGGGUGUGCCGGCUGGUCCGCAUGGGCCUGGUCGGGAUAGUUUCAUCUUCGGGUGUUUCGGUGGGGGAUGGGCUCGCGGCCUAUCAGCUUGUUGGGGGGGUGAUGGCCCACCAAGGCGGUGGCGGGUAGCCGGGCUGAGGGGGUGGGCGGCCACGCGGGGACUGAGACACGGCGCAGACUCCUGCGGGAGGCAGCAGUGGGGGGUAUGGCACAAUGGGCGGAAGCCUGAUGCAGCGACGGCGCGUGAGGGAUGCAGGCCGUCGGGUUGGGAACCUCUUUCUCCGGUGGUGAAGGCCCUGUCCGUUGCGGCGGGGUUGACGGUAGCCGGGUAUGAAGCGCCGGCUAACUACGUG